UUUGCCUAAAGAAAAAAAGAAUGUGUUAUUUUUUUAAGCUAAGCGCUAAUAAAUUCUAUUUUUAAAAUAGUACUUACAUUUGUUUUGUCCAAAAUUUAUGUCAAUAUGGGAAAAAUAAAAAACAGGUUACAUACAUGCAUUAUAAUCAAACACAGACAAUCUUGAUUGAAUUAUACUGAGCAUAGCUAACGUUAGGUGCAGAUAUCACGACAAUUGUUGAGGUAAAGUGGUCUCAGUAUUCAGAUUGAUAAAGUGACAAUCUAGUUGUAACUAUUGAGACAAAGUGCUGGGAUAUCACAAUAAAAAAAUAAGUUGUGCAUUUUUAGAAGGAUACUGAAUUUUAACGGCUUUGUAGAUCCUCCAGUAGAAGAACAGCAUCACAAACAUGGGGAUGUAGAAGGAGCCGAGGGCUGAGUAGACGACGUAACCAGCGUCGUUGGUGAGCUCGCACGUCCAAGGACACGGUGGGUUCGGAGUCCGAAGGUCACCUUCUUCAGGCUGUGAAAGGAAAUAAGAAAUUUUUCGAGUCUUCGCACACGAUUUGUAAGGGGAGGGAAGCAGAUGACAAACGACAGCACCCAGAGACCAGCGAUGAGCGCCUUGGCCCGCUUCCGACUCAUGAUGCUGGGGUAGCUGACAGGCCGCGUGACUGCCACGUAGCGGUCUAGCGAGAUGGCGCACAGGUUCAAGAUGGACGCUGUACACAUCCACACGUCUACCGCCAGCCAUACCGAACACCAGACGUGGCCGAAUAUCCAUAUCUGG